rnacentral:rRNA from 1 species
CCUACGGGAGGCAGCAGUGAGGAAUAUUGGUCAAUGGACGCAAGUCUGAACCAGCCAUGCCGCGUGCAGGAAGACGGCUCUAUGAGUUGUAAACUGCUUUUGUACGAGGGUAAACGCAGAUACGCGUAUCUGUCUGAAAGUAUCGUACGAAUAAGGAUCGGCUAACUCCGUGCCAGCAGCCGCGGUAAUACGGAGGAUUCAAGCGUUAUCCGGAUUUAUUGGGUUUAAAGGGUGCGUAGGCGGUCGGAUAAGUUAGCGGUGAAAUCCCGAGGCUCAACUUCGGAAUUGCCUCUGAUACUGUUCGGCUAGAGAGUAGUUGCGGUAGGCGGAAUCUUUGGUGUAUCUGUGAAAUGCUUAGAGAUCAUACAGAACACCGAUUGCGAAGGCAGCUUACCAAGCUACUUCUGACGUUGAGGCACGAAAGCGUGGGGAGCAAACAGGAUUAGAUACCCCAGUAGUC